rnacentral:rRNA from 1 species
AUGGGCUCCGCCUCCGCCUCCUCCCUCCCGACCACCGCCGGCGCUGGCGAGAACUUGGUCCUCAUCCUCGACUUCGGCUCGCAGUACACCCAGCUCAUCACCCGCCGCGUCCGGCAGUUGGGAGUCCUCUCACUGUGCGUCUCCGGCACCGCGCCGCUCUCCUCCCUCACCGGGUUACGUCCCCGCGCUGUCAUACUCUCCGGAGGACCCCACUCCGUCCACGCCUCGGGCGCGCCCUCCUUCCCCGAGGGAUUCCUCGAUUUCGCUGCCGAAGCUGGCGCGCAUGUUCUGGGCGUGUGCUACGGUAUGCAGCUCCUAGUUCAGUCCCUCGGCGGCGCCGUCGAGGCUGGCGAGCGGCAGGAGUACGGCGAUACGGAGGUAGAGAUUACUGCGACGUCCUCCGCGCUGUACGGCGAGAGCGGGGUGGGGAACAGACAGUCGGUGUGGAUGAGCCACGGCGACGAGGUGGUCAGACUGCCUCAGGGGUUCGAGGUUGUGGCACGAAGUGUGCAGGGCGCAAUCGCGGCCAUCGAGCAUCGGGAGAAGCGUUUUUAUGGACUCCAGUACCACCCGGAGGUGACACAUUCGACCCAAGGAAAGGAAACACUGCGCCGCUUUCUUUUUGAUGUUUGUGGGAUUAAAGCUGACUGGAAGAUUCAGGAUGUGCUGGAUGAGCAAAUUAAGACCAUCAAAAGUAUGGUUGGGACUGAUGAACAUGUGAUUUGCGCGUUAUCAGGAGGAGUUGAUUCGACAGUUGCAGCCACACUUGUUCAUAACGUGAUAGGUGAUAGGCUUCAUUGUGUUUUUGUCGACAAUGGUCUAUUGAGAUACAAGGAGAAGGAACGAGUAAUGUCAACCUUUAAUAGUGACUUGCACCUUCCUGUCACAUGUAUUGAUGCCUCGGAGCAAUUUCUUAGCAAGUUAAAAGGAGUCAAAGACCCAGAGAUGAAAAGAAAGAUUGUUGGCAAAGAAUUCAUAGCUGUCUUUGAUGAAUUUGCUCACAUGUUAGAACAGCAGACAGGAAAAAGACCUGAAUAUUUAGUUCAAGGAACAUUAUACCCUGAUGUGAUUGAAUCAUGCCCACCCCCUGGGAGUGGUAUGACACAUUCCCACACCAUCAAAAGCCAUCACAAUGUAGGUGGUCUUCCUGAAGAUAUGAAAUUGAAGCUCAUUGAACCACUGAAGCUCCUAUUUAAGGAUGAGGCGGAUGAGAUAUAUGUUCAAGCCAUUAGAGAUGCAGGACUCUAUGAUACAAUUUGGCAAGCUUUUGCUGUGCUUUUGCCUGUCGAAACAGUUGGGGUCCAGGGUGACCAGAGAACUUACGGCUAUCCGGUUACUUUAAAGGCAAUUACCAGUGAGGAUGGCAUGACUGCAGAUUGGUAUUAUUUUGAACGCAAGUUCCUGGCCGAUGUGUCGAAUAGGAUCUGCAACAAUGUGCGAGGUAUUAACCGUGUUUGCCUGGAGAAAACAUCGAAGCCACCAGCGACAGUGGAGUGGGAAUAG